ensembl:snRNA U6 U6 spliceosomal RNA
GUGCUUGCUUUUGCAGCACAUAGGCUAAAAUUGGAACGAUACAGAGAAGAUUAGCCACGGCCUCUGUGCUAGGAUGACACACACAUUUGUAAGGUGUUCCCUAUUUUU